rnacentral:rRNA from 1 species
AUUGAACGCUGGCGGCAGGCCUAACACAUGCAAGUCGAGCGAGCGGCGGACGGGUGAGUAAUGUCUGGGAAACUGCCUGAUGGAGGGGGCUAACUACUGGAAACGGUAGCUAAUACCGCAUACCAUCAGAUGUGCCCAGAUGGGAGUAGCUAGUAGGUGGGGUAACGGCUCACCUAGGCGACGAUCCCUAGCUGGUCUGAGAGGAUGACCAGCCACACUGUAACGGAGACACGGCCCAGACGCCUACGGGAGGCAGCAGUGGGGAAUAUUGCACAAUGGGCGCAAUCCUGAUGCAGCCAUGCCGCGUGUAUGAAGAAGGCCUUCGGGUUGUAAAGUACUUUCAGCGGUGAGGCGUUACCCGCAGAAGAAGCACCGGCUAACGCCGUGCCAGCAGCCGCGGUAAUAC